rnacentral:rRNA from 1 species
GGUUCGAUUCCGGAGAGGGAGCUUGAGAAUCGGCUACCACAUCCAAGGAAGGCAGCAGGCGCGCAAAUUACCAAAUCUAGACAGUAGGAGGUGGUGAAGAGAAGUACUAAGUGGUGGUUAUUUACUACCAGCUUGGAAUGGACGUAAUUUAAGCAUUUCGAUGAGUAACUACUGGAGGGCAAGUCCUGGUGCCAGCAGCCGCGGUAAUUCCAGCUCCAGUGGCGUGAUUUAAAGUUGCUGCGUUUAAAACGCUCGUAGUUGGAUCAAGCGGUAAUAGUUUGUAGUUCAUGGUUAGCAUUUGACUGCUUCAGUCGAUGCUAUCCAUGGAUUAAAACGCAAACUGUUACUAUUUAAUCGCAAAUAUGUUGAUUGACCUUUAGUGAGUUGAUCAUCAUAUUUUGCAGAGUUGUGCCUUGAAUAAAACAGAGUGCUCAAAGCAGGCGAACGCUUGAAUGUUGUAGCAUGGAACGAACAAACGUGUAUUCGCACAUGUCGUGCGAAGCGGAUAUGCUUCUGGURUGUCUGCUUUGCUGAUGUGUGCAUCACCCGCCAAAGUACGAUUGUUGGUUAUCGUAUUAGGUGAUGAUUAAAAGGAGCGGUUGGGGGCAUUGGUAUUUGGACGCGAGAGGUGAAAUUCAAAGACCGUCCAAGGACUAACAAAUGCGAAGGCAUCUGUCCAGACCGUAUCCAUUAAUCAAGAACGAAAGUGGGAGGUUCGAAGACGAUUAGAUACCGUCGUAGUUCCCACUGUAAACUAUGCCGACUAGGGAUCAGCUUGGUGAUGUUACAAGCACCAAGUUGGUCUCCAAGGGAAACCAUAAGUUUUUCGGUUACGGGGAGAGUAUGGUCGCAAGGCUGAAAUUUAAAGGAAUUGACGGAAGGGCACCACCAGGGGUGGAACCUGCGGCUUAAUUUGACUCAACACGGGGAAACUUACAUGGUCCAGACAUCGAUAGGAUAAACAGACUGAUAGAUCUUUUUUGAUGCGGUGAGUGGUGGUGCAUGGCCGUUCCUAGUUCGUGGAGUGAUCUGUCAGGUUUAUUCCGGUAACGAACGAGACUACAACCUUCAUUUAAGAGGCAAAAGCAGGUUUCGUGUCUGGCUGUGCUUCGGUGCAGUCAUUCAUGUCUCUGAAAGAAGAAUAUCCAAGUUCUCAGUUUUCUGGGCAAUCGGGCAACCGAGAACUCAGUUUGCUGUGGAAUGCGGGUAUUUUCUCUUUUGUCAAGCAGUCAUUGGGUAACCUUUGGCUGACUUAUGGAGGGACUGCUGGUGUUACAAAACCAGAGGAAGUGUGGCGAUAACAGGUCAGUGAUGCCCUU